AGCGAACGCUGGCGGCAGGCUUAACACAUGCAAGUCGAGCGGGCACUUUCGGGUGUCAGCGGCGGACGGGUGAGUAACGCGUGGGAACGUGCCCUCUGGUUCGGAAUAACUCAGGGAAACUUGAGCUAAUACCGGAUACGCCCUUUUGGGGAAAGGCUUGCUGCCGGAGGAUCGGCCCGCGUCUGAUUAGCUAGUUGGUGAGGUAACGGCUCACCAAGGCGACGAUCAGUAGCUGGUCUGAGAGGAUGAUCAGCCACACUGGGACUGAGACACGGCCCAGACUCCUACGGGAGGCAGCAGUGGGGAAUAUUGGACAAUGGGCGCAAGCCUGAUCCAGCCAUGCCGCGUGAGUGAUGAAGGCCUUAGGGUUGUAAAGCUCUUUUAUCCGGGACGAUAAUGACGGUACCGGAGGAAUAAGCCCCAGCUAACUUCGUG
rnacentral:rRNA from 1 species